UACGGAGGGCGCAAGCGUUGUGCGGAAGUACUGGGCGUAAAGCGCGUGUAGGUGGCCUGGCAAGGCGGGUGUGAAAUCCCGGAGCUCAACUCCGGAACUGCAUCCGAUACUGCCAAGCUCGAGUCUCGGAGAGGAUGGCGGAAUUUCCGGUGUAGAGGUGAAAUUCGUAGAUAUCGGAAGGAACACCAGUGGCGAAGGCGGCCGUCUGGACGAUGACUGACACUGAGACGCGAAAGCGUGGGGAGCAAACAGG
rnacentral:rRNA from 1 species